rnacentral:tRNA from 1 species
AAAAAUGAAGUAUUAUUACGUCUCAGUUACAUUGAGAAAAUCCAGCAUUUAUGGCGUUUUUA